UGGGGAAUUUUGGACAAUGGGCGAAAGCCUGAUCCAGCAAUGCCGCGUGUGUGAAGAAGGCCUUCGGGUUGUAAAGCACUUUUGUCCGGAAAGAAAUCCUUGGCUCUAAUACAGUCGGGGGAUGACGGUACCGGAAGAAUAAGCACCGGCUAACUACGUGCCAGCAGCCGCGGUAAUACGUAGGGUGCAAGCGUUAAUCGGAAUUACUGGGCGUAAGCGUGCGCAGGCGGUUUGCUAAGACCGAUGUGAAAUCCCCGGGCUCAACCUGGGAACUGCAUUGGUGACUGGCAGGCUAGAGUAUGGCAGAGGGGGGUAGAAUUCCACGUGUAGCAGUGAAAUGCGUAGAGAUGUGGAGGAAUACCGAUGGCGAAGGCAGCCCCCUGGGCCAAUACUGACGCUCAUGCACGAAAGCGUGGGGAGCAAACAGGAUUAGAUACCCUGGUAGUCCACGCCCUAAACGAUGUCAACUAGUUGUUGGGGACUUCAUUUCCUUAGUAACGUAGCUAACGCGUGAAGUUGACCGCCUGGGGAGUACGGUCGU
rnacentral:rRNA from 1 species